rnacentral:rRNA from 1 species
UGGGGGAUAUUGCGCAAUGGGGGCAACCCUGACGCAGCAACGCCGCGUGAAGGAUGAAGGUUUUCGGAUUGUAAACUUCUUUUAUUAAGGACGAAAAAUGACGGUACUUAAUGAAUAAGCUCCGGCUAACUACGUGCCAGCAGCCGCGGUAAUACGUAGGGAGCAAGCGUUGUCCGGAUUUACUGGGUGUAAAGGGUGCGUAGGCGGCUUUGCAAGUCAGAUGUGAAAUCUAUGGGCUCAACCCAUAAACUGCAUUUGAAACUGUAGAGCUUGAGUGAAGUAGAGGCAGGCGGAAUUCCCCGUGUAGCGGUGAAAUGCGUAGAGAUGGGGAGGAACACCAGUGGCGAAGGCGGCCUGCUGGGCUUUAACUGACGCUGAGGCACGAAAGCGUGGGUAGCAAACAGGAUUAGAUACCCUGGUAGUCCACGCUGUAAACGAUGAUUACUAGGUGUGGGGGGUCUGACCCCUUCCGUGCCGGAGUUAACACAAUAAGUAAUCCACCUGGGGAGUACGACCGCAAGGUUGAAACUCAAAGGAAUUGACGGGGGCCCGCACAAGCAGUGGAGUAUGUGGUUUAAUUCGACGCAACGCGAAGAACCUUACCAAGUCUUGACAUCCUGUGACAGACGUAGAAAUACGUUCUUCCUUCGGGACACAGAGACAGGUGGUGCAUGGUUGUCGUCAGCUCGUGUCGUGAGAUGUUGGGUUAAGUCCCGCAACGAGCGCAACCCUUAUGGUCAGUUACUACGCAAGAGGACUCUGGCCAGACUGCCGUUGACAAAACGGAGGAAGGUGGGGAUGACGUCAAGUCAUCAUGCCCCUUAUGACCUGGGCUACACACGUACUACAAUGGCCAUUAACAGAGGGAAGCAAAACCGCGAGGCAGAGCAAACCCCUAAAAAUGGUCCCAGUUCGGAUUGUAGGCUGCAACCCGCCUACAUGAAGUUGGAAUUGCUAGUAAUCGCGGAUCAGCAUGCCGCGGUGAAUACGUUCCC